rnacentral:misc_RNA from 1 species
CGAAUGGGUCCAAUGACUCUUAAAACCUACCGUGCUCCCCUACGUGGACAACAGGAAAGCCCUCCGGGGCAUCGGAAAUCUGAGAAGUUGAAGAACUGCGCCCCGGCGCAUGACUUAAGAAAAAAUUA